rnacentral:rRNA from 1 species
CAGCCCUAAACGAUGCGCGUUAGGUGUAUCGGUGACCACGAGUCACCGAGGUGCCGAAGGGAAACCGUGAAACGUGCCGCCUGGGAAGUACGGUCGCAAGGCUGAAACUUAAAGGAAUUGGCGGGGGAGCACCACGACGGGUGGAACCUGCGGUUUAAUUGGACUCAACGCCGGAAAACUCACCGGGGGCGACAGCAAUAUGUAGGUCAAGCUAAAGACUUUACCAGAAUCGCUGAGAGGAGGUGCAUGGCGUAGA